GGUGUCAUUGUGAUCCAGUUUCAUGAAAAAAAAUGAAAAAAUUUUUAUGUAUUAUUCUUAUCAUAAAUAUAAUUAGAUUAGAUUUAAAAUAAUUUAUGAUUUAUUACAAUAGGAUAAAAUUUAGAUAUAAAAUAAUUUUAGAUCUGAAUUACAUGUUGCAUAUGAUGUAAUUGAUAUUGAUCAAAAAAUUAUCAUAAUACAUG
rnacentral:lncRNA from 1 species